UAAGGAAUAUUGGACAAUGGAGGCAACUCUGAUCCAGCCAUGCCGCGUGCAGGAAGAAGGCGCUACGCGUUGUAAACUGCUUUUGUACGGGAGAAAACCCGGGUACGUGUACCCGGUUGAUAGUACCGUAAGAAUAAGCAUCGGCUAACUUCGUGCCAGCAGCCGCGGUAAUACGAAGGAUGCAAGCGUUAUCCGGAUUUAUUGGGUUUAAAGGGAGCGUAGGCGGUCUUAUAAGUCAGUGGUGAAAUCUCGUUGCUUAACAACGAACGUGCCAUUGAUACUGUAGGACUUGAGUACAGUUGCCGUUGGCGGAAUGUGUCAUGUAGCGGUGAAAUGCAUAGAUAUGACACAGAACACCGAUUGCGAAGGCAGCUGACGAAACUGUAACUGACGCUGAGGCUCGAAAGCGUGGGGAUCAAACAGGAUUAGAUACCCGCGUAGUCC
rnacentral:rRNA from 1 species